ACAAAAAGUAAAAGAAGGGCAGACGGUGGAUGCCUUGGCUCUCGGAGGCGACGAAGGACGU
rnacentral:rRNA from 1 species